rnacentral:rRNA from 1 species
GGAAAGAAAACCUCCGCCCUAAUAUGGUGGGGGGAUGACGGUACCGGAAGAAUAAGCACCGGCUAACUACGUGCCAGCAGCCGCGGUAAUACGUAGGGUGCAAGCGUUAAUCGGAAUUACUGGGCGUAAAGCGUGCGCAGGCGGUCCGCUAAGACAGAUGUGAAAUCCCCGGGCUUAACCUGGGAACUGCAUUUGUGACUGGCGGGCUAGAGUAUGGCAGAGGGGGGUAGAAUUCCACGUGUAGCAGUGAAAUGCGUAGAGAUGUGGAGGAAUACCGAUGGCGAAGGCAGCCCCCUGGGCCAAUACUGACGCUCAUGCACGAAAGCGUGGGGAGCAAACAGGAUUAGAUACCCUGGUAGUCCACGCCCUAAACGAUGUCAACUAGUUGUCGGGUCUUCAUUGACUUGGUAACGUAGCUAACGCGUGAAGUUGACCGCCUGGGGAGUACGGUCGCAAGAUUAAAACUCAAAGGAAUUGACGGGGACCCGCACAAGCGGUGGAUGAUGUGGAUUAAUUCGAUGCAACGCGAAAAACCUUACCUACCCUUGACAUGUA